rnacentral:rRNA from 1 species
AGCUGACAGCCAUGCCGCGUGCAGGAAGACGGCCUUCUGGGUUGUAAACUGCUUUUCUACGGGAAGAAAAUGCCCUUGCGAGGGAAAUUGCCGGUACCGUAGGAAUAAGCACCGGCUAACUCCGUGCCAGCAGCCGCGGUAAUACGGAGGGUGCAAGCGUUGUCCGGAUUUAUUGGGUUUAAAGGGUGCGUAGGCGGAUCUUUAAGUCAGUGGUGAAAGCCUGCAGCUUAACUGUAGAACUGCCAUUGAUACUGGAGGUCUUGAGUACACUAGAGGUAGGCGGAAUUUAUGGUGUAGCGGUGAAAUGCAUAGAUACCAUAAAGAACACCUAUAGCGUAGGCAGCUUACUGGAGUGUAACUGACGCUGAGGCACGAAAGCAUGGGGAGCGAACAGGAUUAGAUACCCUGGUAGUCCAUGCCGUAAACGAUGAUUACUCGAUGUUGGCGAUAUACUGUCAGCGUCCAAGCGAAAGCGUUAAGUAAUCCACCUGGGGAGUACGCUCGCAAGAGUGAAACUCAAAUG